GAAGACAAAGCGAUGGUAGUUCUGGAGGCCUCGCUCCGGGGCCGACCCGAGGCCACAGUUCCUCCGCGGUAGACCGGACUUGGGUGACGGGCUCCGGGCUCCCGAGGGAUGGAAGGGUCUAAGACGUCCAACAACAGCACCAUGCAGGUGAGCUUCGUGUGCCAGCGCUGCAGCCAGCCCCUGAAACUGGACACGAGUUUCAAGAUCCUGGACCGUGUCACCAUCCAGGAACUCACAGCUCCAUUACUUACCACAGCCCAGGCGAAACCAGGAGAGACCCAGGAGGAAGAGACUAACUCAGGAGAGGUAAUAGAAGUGCCCUCUCCCCUAUCCUCCUCCUGUAGUAAACAUUCCAAAUGAGAGAUAUGAUAUGAAAACAGGAAUGCAGGCUUGGUUUCUGCAGGCUACUUGGCGCUUCUAGAGCUCCCAGACUUUUGGGAUCUCUGGGUAAUGAGACAUUCUACAUGAUCAGGCUGCUAUGCACCAUUGGAGGUACAGAUCUGCACCUGAGGUCACAGGGUUACUGAAUUAGUCAUUUUAAAAUGUUGGAAAGGGCU
rnacentral:sRNA from 1 species